CCUGGCUCAGGACGAACGCUGGCGGCGUGCUUAACACAUGCAAGUCGAGCGGUAAGGCCCUUUCGGGGGUACACGAGCGGCGAACGGGUGAGUAACACGUGGGUGACCUGCCCUCCACUCUGGGAUAAGCCCGGGAAACUGGGUCUAAUACCGGAUAGGACCACUGAUCGCAUGGUUGGUGGUGGAAAGUUUUUUCGGUGGGGGAUGGGCCCGCGGCCUAUCAGCUUGUUGGUGGGGUGAUGGCCUACCAAGGCGGUGACGGGUAGCCGGCCUGAGAGGGCGACCGGCCACACUGGGACUGAGACACGGCCCAGACUCCUACGGGAGGCAGCAGUGGGGAAUAUUGCGCAAUGGGCGGAAGCCUGACGCAGCGACGCCGCGUGGGGGAUGACGGCCUUCGGGUUGUAAACCUCUUUCGCCAGGGACGAAGAGCAAUUGACGGUACCUGGAGAAGAAGCACCGGCCAACUACGUGCCAGCAGCCGCGGUAACACGUAGGGUGCGAGCGUUGUCCGGAAUUAUUGGGCGUAAAGAGCUCGUAGGCGGUGUGUCGCGUCGGCCGUGAAAACUUGGGGCUUAACUCUGAGCGUGCGGUCGAUACGGGCAUCACUUGAGUUCGGCAGGGGAGACUGGAAUUCCUGGUGUAGCGGUGAAAUGCGCAGAUAUCAGGAGGAACACCGGUGGCGAAGGCGGGUCUCUGGGCCGAUACUGACGCUGA
rnacentral:rRNA from 1 species